AAUGAACGAAAGUUUGACACAGCGACACCGCGUGUGGGAUGACGGAUCUAGGUUUGUAAACCACUUUCAGGAGGGAAGAAAAUGACGGUACCUCCACAAGAAGCCCCGGCCAACUACGUGCCAGCAGCCGCGGUAAUACGUAGGGGGCGAGCGUUGUCCGGAUUUAUUGGGCGUAAAGAGCUCGUAGGCGGUUCAACAAGUCGGUAGUAAAAGUUCAGGGCUCAACCCUGAAAUGCUAUCGAUACUGUUGGACUAGGAUACGGCAGAGGUGAGUGGAAUUCCGAGUGUAGCGGUGAAAUGCGUAGAUAUUCGGAGGAACACCAAUUGCGAAGGCAGCUCACUGGGCCGCUAUCGACGCUGAGGAGCGAAAGCUAGGGGAGCAAACAGGAUU
rnacentral:rRNA from 1 species